AAAUGAAUAGACGGGGACCCGCACAAGCAGUGGAUUAUGUGGUUUAAUUCGAAGCAACGCGAAGAACCUUACCAGGGCUUGACAUCCCACUAACGAAGCAGAAAUGCAUUAGGUGCCCUUCGGGGAAAGUGGAGACAGGUGGUGCAUGGUUGUCGUCAGCUCGUGUCGUGAGAUGUUGGGUUAAGUCCCGCAACGAGCGCAACCCUUAUUGUUAGUUGAUACAGUUCGGCUGAUCACUCUAGCGAGACUGCCGUUGACAAAACGGAGGAAGGUGGGGACGACGUCAAAUCAUCAUGCCCCUUAUGUCCUGGGCUACACACGUAAUACAAUGGCGAUUAACAGAGGGAGGCAAUACCGCGAGGUGGAGCAAAACCCUAAACAUCGUCUCAGUUCAGAUUGCAGGCUGCAACCCGCCUGCAUGAAGGCGGAAUUGCUAGUAAUCGCGGAUCAGCAUGCCGCGGUGAAUACGUUCCCGGGUCUUGUACACACCGCCCGU
rnacentral:rRNA from 1 species